rnacentral:rRNA from 1 species
GAUGAACGCUGGCGGCGUGCCUAAUACAUGCAAGUCGAGCGAACAGACGAGGAGCUUGCUCCUUCGACGUUAGCGGCGGAUGGGUGAGUAACACGUAGGUAACCUACCUAUAAGACUGGGAUAACUUCGGGAAACCGGAGCUAAUACCGGAUAAUAUUUCGAACCGCAUGGUUCGAUAGUGAAAGAUGGCUUUGCUAUCACUUAUAGAUGGACCUGCGCCGUAUUAGCUAGUUGGUAAGGUAACGGCUUACCAAGGCAACGAUACGUAGCCGACCUGAGAGGGUGAUCGGCCACACUGGAACUGAGACACGGUCCAGACUCCUACGGGAGGCAGCAGUAGGGAAUCUUCCGCAAUGGGCGAAAGCCUGACGGAGCAACGCCGCGUGAGUGAUGAAGGUCUUCGGAUCGUAAAACUCUGUUAUUAGGGAAGAACAAACGUGUAAGUAACUGUGCACGUCUUGACGGUACCUAAUCAGAAAGCCACGGCUAACUACGUG